rnacentral:rRNA from 1 species
AACGAACGCUGGCGGCGUGCCUAACACAUGCAAGUCGAGCGCGAAAAGGGCAACCUGAGUAGAGCGGCGCACGGGUGCGUAACACGUGGGUAAUCUGCCUUAGAGUCGAGGAUAACCUUCCGAAAGGUUGGCUAAUACUCGGUAAGCUUACGGUGUCUUCGGACGCUGUGGGAAAAGUAGGCCUCUGUUUACAAGCUUACGCUCUGAGAUGCGCCCGCGGCCCAACAGCUAGUUGGCGGUGUAACGGACCACCAAGGCAACGACGGGUAGCUGGUCUGAGAGGACGAUCAGCCACACUGGAACUGAGACACGGUCCAGACUCCUACGGGAGGCAGCAGUGGGAAAUUUUCCACAAUGGGCGAAAGCCUGAUGGAGCAACGCCGCGUGUGUGAUGAAGGUUUUCGGAUCGUAAAGCACUUUCGACCGGGACGAAAAACCUCUGGCUAACAUCCAGGGGCCUGACGGUACCGGGAGAAGAAGCACCGGCUAACUCUGUGCCAGCCGCCGCAGUAA